UACGGAGGGGGCAAGCGUUGUUCGGAAUUACUGGGCGUAAAGGGCGCGCAGGCGGCUGCUCAAGUCAGGCGUGAAAGGCCUGGGCUCAACCCGGGAAUUGCGCUUGAGACUGGGCUGGCUUGAGUGCGGGAGAGGAUGGUGGAAUUCCCGGUGUAGCAGCGAAAUGCGUAGAGAUCGGGAGGAACAUCAGUUGCGAAGGCGGCCACCUGGACCAGCACUGACACUGAGGCACGAAAGCGUGGGGAGCAAACAGG
rnacentral:rRNA from 1 species